rnacentral:lncRNA from 1 species
CAGAUGCUCCGCAGGGCGCAGCUUUAUACGACCGCAGAGGUUGAACCCUGAACGGUUGGGGCAAGUAUGGACACAACAUUCAAGCUGGAUUCAGCUCUAAAUUUGGAUUGUGAUUAAAUAGUUGACACAGCAUAGGUUUCUGACACAGAAUGAAUGUGGUCUAAUAAACUUAAAAUUUUUUUUUUUUGCCUUUGAGCAAUUCACUAUGCUGUUGAAUAUUAAUCCUCUCAAAAAAAUGUUUGAAGAAAUUUUCUUUUUAUUUAUGAAAUCUGAAAUGAGAAAAAUUUAACCCCCCCCCCCCCCCAUUUUUUUUUCACAUCCCCCUUUCCCUUUUCCCAAAACUGAUCUCAAUUCAAAUUUCUAAUGGAGUUUGCAACAAUAACUACUCAUUUAAAUACAUCAUAAAAUAUUAAAAUGUAACAAAAGGUGCUUGUUAUCACUGAAUGGUAAAGAUUGUUUUAAUUUAUCAGUUGGUAGUAAAAGUGAAUAUACAUUGUAUAUUGUAUAAAACAAUGAUUUAAG